UACGUAUGGUGCAAGCGUUGUUCGGAAUCAUUGGGCGUAAAGGGUGUGUAGGCGGAUUUCCAAGUCAGGUGUGAAAUACCCGAGCUCAACUCGGGGGCUGCACUUGAAACUGGGGAUCUGGAAUCUGGGAGAGGCAAGCGGAAUUUCUGGUGUAGCGGUGAAAUGCGUAGAUAUCAGAAGGAACACCGAUGGCGAAGGCAGCUUGCUGGCCUAAGAUUGACGCUGAAACACGAAAGCGUGGGUAGGGAACGGG
rnacentral:rRNA from 1 species